GUAGCAACACCAGUCACAUUAGGUCUUUAGUUUGAAUCAGUCAAUAGGAUAAAUGUUGAUAGUUUAGGUUUAUCGAGUCCUUAACUUUUUUCUUUUCUUUUAGUGAUUGUUGUGAAAUUGUGCAACAAGUAGUGGAAAAAGUUUUUAGUGUGUAUGCCUAUAAAAGGAAUAAAUAAAGAAAGUAUCAAUAGUAGUUUUUCUCUCUAU
rnacentral:lncRNA from 1 species